rnacentral:rRNA from 1 species
UACGUCGGGUGCGCGCUUUUCCCUUCUUUAUUUUUCUUAAAUUUCGCGUAGGCGGUCACGCACGUCCGUUGUGAAAUCGCUCGGCUCAACUGGGCGGGGUCAGCGGAUACGGCGUGGCUGGAGCAAGCUAGGGGGCAAUGGAAUUCCCGGUGUAGUGGUGGAAUGCGUAGAUAUCGGGAGGAACACCAGUGGCGAAGGCGGCUCACUGGACCGGUACUGACGCUGAUGCGCGAAAGCGUGGGGAGCAAACGGG